AAUAUCUACUUAGGCUUUAUGGUAUAGCCUAUUGCUCCUAGGCUACAAACCUGUAUAGCAUGUUACUGAACUGAAUAUUGUAGGCAGUUGUAACUCAAUGGUAUUUGUGCAUGUAAAUAUACCUAAGCAGAAAAGGUAUAG